UACGUAGGUGGCGAGCGUUAUCCGGAUUUACUGGGUGUAAAGGGAGCGUAGACGGUUAUGUAAGUCUGGAGUGAAAGCCCGGGGCCCAACCCCGGGACUGCUUUGGAAACUGUGUAACUGGAGUACAGGAGGGGCAGGCGGAAUUCCUGGUGUAGCGGUGAAAUGCGUAGAGAUCGGGAGGAACACCAGUGGCGAAGGCGGCCUACUGGGCUCUAACUGACGCUGAGGCACGAAAGCGUGGGUAGCAAACAGG
rnacentral:rRNA from 1 species